AUUGAACGCUAGCGGGAUGCUUUACACAUGCAAGUCGAACGAGUGGCGGACGGGUGAGUAAUAUAUCGGAACGUGCCCAGUAGCGGGGGAUAACUACUCGAAAGAGUGGCUAAUCCCGCAUACCAUCGGAUGUGCCCAGCUGGGAUUAGCUUGUUGGUGGGGUAACGGCUCACCAAGGCGACGAUCCCUAGCUGGUCUGCGAGGAUGACCAGCCACACUGGAACUGAGACACGGUCCAGACGCCUACGGGAGGCAGCAGUGGGGAAUAUUGCACAAUGGGCGCAAGCCUGAUGCAGCCAGGCCGCGUGUAUGAAGAAGGCCUUCGGGUUGUAAAGUACUUUUGGCAGAGAAGCGGUAUCUGCAGAAUAAGCACCGGCUAACUACGUGCCAGCAGCCGCGGUAAUUC
rnacentral:rRNA from 1 species